AGAUUGAAGCAGCUUCAUCUCAUUCCUGGUUCAUCCUGAUUCCCUCAGUGGCUUGCUCCUGCAUUAGUAAUGUAAAACUGGCCCAAAAGGGUUUAAAAUUGUCAGAAGUUGAUCUUGAUCAGUUCAAAUAUUUUUUGACAAAGAAAAUCAGUUCUGGUCAGUUCAAAUCUAUUUUGACCAGUUUAAACCAAUUCUGCAGAACUCGAGCCUGUGGUCGGUAAACCCAGGAAGAUGGCUGAAGACUAUGCUGAUUCAAGCCAAAGCAAGGAAUCAGCUUCUGCUGAUCCUGCUUUUUGGAAUUAAGAAUUCCCAAACAGGUUGCUUCCAAGACGGCUGAAUAGGAACAGCUCCAGUCUACAACUCCCAGUGAGAUCGAUGCAGAAGGAUGGGCCGCAAAGGAGAUUCUUCCAAGAUUUCAGAAGUUGGAAGGGAAGCAGAAUCCAUUUGAUAACACAAACACAUUGUUGCUUAUCUGUUGACUCAACUUGGGAUGAAGAAGCAGUUGAGCCAGUUGUGUGUGUAGAGCUCAAGGACAAAGGUCCUUAGCUUCUGCAGAAUACUAUCAUCACCAAGC
rnacentral:lncRNA from 1 species